rnacentral:rRNA from 1 species
AGAGUUUGAUCAUGGCUCAGGAUAAACGCUGGCGGCGUGCCUAACACAUGCAAGUCGAACGCUCUCACGCAAGUGAGAGAGUGGCGGACGGGUGAGGAACACGUGGGUCAUCUACCCAAAGGUGAGGAAUACCGGCGAGAAAUCGCCGACAAUACCGCAUAUGCUCGGCAACGAGCAAAGUCGUAAGACGCCUGUGGAUGAGCCUGCGUCCGAUUAGCUAGCUGGUGGGGUAAAAGCCUACCAGGGCGACGAUCGGUAGCUGGUCUGAGAGGACGAUCAGCCACACUGGGAUUGAGAACGGCCCAGACUCCUACGGGGGGCAGCAGUGAGGAAUUUUCGUCAAUGGGGGCAACCCUGAACGAGCAACGCCGCGUGCAGGAAGAAGGUUUUCGGAUCGUAAACUGCUUUUCUGUGGGAGGAGAACGGACGGUACCACAGGAAGAAGCCCCGGCUAACUACGUGCCAGCCGCCGCGGUAAUAC